rnacentral:rRNA from 1 species
GACGAACGCUGGCGGCGUGCUUAACACAUGCAAGUCGAACGGAAAGGCCCUGCUUUUGUGGGGUGCUCGAGUGGCGAACGGGUGAGUAACACGUGAGUAACCUGCCCUUGACUUUGGGAUAACUUCAGGAAACUGGGGCUAAUGCCGGAUAGGAGCUCCUGCUGCAUGGUGGGGGUUGGAAAGUUUCGGCGGUUGGGGAUGGACUCGCGGCUUAUCAGCUUGUUGGUGGGGUAGUGGCUUACCAAGGCCUUGACGGGUAGCCGGCCUGAGAGGGUGACCGGCCACAUUGGGACUGAGAUACGGCCCAGACUCCUACGGGAGGCAGCAGUGGGGAAUAUCGCACAAUGGGCGGAAGCCUGAUGCAGCAACGCCGCGUGCGGGAUGACGGCCUUCGGGUUGUAAACCGCUUUCGCCUGUGACGAAGCGUGAGUGACGGUAAUGGGUAAAGAAGCACCGGCUAACUACGUG